rnacentral:rRNA from 1 species
GUACACUCCUACGGGAGGCAGCAGUGGGGAAUUUUGGACAAUGGGCGAAAGCCUGAUCCAGCAAUGCCGCGUGAGUGAAGAAGGCCUUCGGGUUGUAAAGCUCUUUUGUCAGGGAAGAAACGGUGAAAGCUAAUAUCUUUUGCUAAUGACGGUACCUGAAGAAUAAGCACCGGCUAACUACGUGCCAGCAGCCGCGGUAAUACGUAGGGUGCAAGCGUUAAUCGGAAUUACUGGGCGUAAAGCGUGCGCAGGCGGUUUUGUAAGUCUGAUGUGAAAUCCCCGGGCUCAACCUGGGAAUUGCAUUGGAGACUGCAAGGCUAGAAUCUGGCAGAGGGGGGUAGAAUUCCACGUGUAGCAGUGAAAUGCGUAGAUAUGUGGAGGAACACCGAUGGCGAAGGCAGCCCCCUGGGUCAAGAUUGACGCUCAUGCACGAAAGCGUGGGGAGCAAACAGGAUUAGAAACCCCAGUAGUCCCAUGA